ACAAAACCCAUCAAUAAUCCUGUCUAGCUUGUUCUUGUUAAAACAAAAAUCCAGCUGAAUAGUAGGAUAGGCAAAUUCUUUCUAUUCUCCUGAUAAAACUAGAAGCUCAGAAGGGCUGAUCAUUGCUUCCUUGCUAUUCUCAUGAUGAAACUAGAAACUGGGGGAGUGGGAUCACCACUUCUGUCUUGCUAAUAGACAGGUUCUGGGGAGAAGCAAGCAUCUUGUCCACUCUUACAAGAAUUCCCCAUUAGGUCAUCUAGUCCUUACACCAGCACCCCCUGCAUUACAACCUCUUUAUAAUCCCUGAUCACCCUCCUCCAACAGCAUGGUAGUCCUAAUGAAGGCAUCCUACCUUCCCCUAAUCUUGUGAGUAAUAUUUGCAGAAGAGUUUUGGAAGCCUACUGAAAAAAGGAGAUGAUUUGGAAGGGCAGGCUUUUGACCCAGCUGACAGAGAACCCUCCCCCAACUGAAAGCACCUCCCUCCUGACACCCUGGACUCCCCUGACUGGCUGGUGGGACCUUCCUCAGAACAAAGCCUGAAAAUCUGCAUAAUUGUCAAUUGAAUAGACUCAUUGUUUUAUUUCAAGCCUGGUGCUCCAAUUACCCCUGUCCCUUUAAACAUCCUUUGUGCUGCGGGGUUUGGUAGAAAAAGGCUUCUUUGGAUUGGGAGGACUUUCUUUCCCAAGACUGCAGCUGCCUUCUGGAAAUACACCCUUUCCUCUGGCCAGCACUCAGCUAUGGCGAAUUGAAGCGGUGAGCAUCCAGAGCCGGAUUAUGUGUCUGGAAACAACACUGGCUCAAGUAUGCACUGACUGGAGAGGAGGUAGAGAAGAUAAUGUAGCAGUGCUGGGUCAGAAUCCACAGCAAGGUUCAAGCUGAUGCUGCAAGCCUUGCUGGAUUCAUGGAUAUGUGUGAGAUGGAGCAAACAUCAGCAUCAAGCCAACAGGUGAGCAUUUCUGCCUGAUCUUUGACACCACAGGGCCGUCUUGCUGUUCACUACAUCACAGCAGAAGCCACGUGGUGGCAGACAUGAGCAGGAGGUGGUAUACAAACUGAACACACACUGAAGAGAAUGCCCAGUACGAGCUGUGCAAGGUGAGGAGGAUGACUGGGUACAAAGGGAAUCCCACCCCGAUGGCUCAUGAUGCUUGUGCCAUGUGCAACCCAGAUCCUCUCCUCAAGGUGAUCACUGGAUGGAUUACUGAGUUGGGGACCCUAUGCAAUUAGACCUCAGGUUUUCCUGCCCAGGGAUAAGAGCAUCUC
rnacentral:lncRNA from 1 species